UUACCAAGUGCAUGGCCGAGUAGCCAAGUCGGGACGGGAUAAACGCUGAAGGCAUCUAAGCGUGAAGCCCCCCUCAAGAUGAGAUAUCCCAUACGAAUGUAGUAAGACCCCUUGAAGACGACGAGGUUGAUAGGCAAAAGGUGGAAGCGUGGUGACAUGUGGAGCUGAUUUGUACUAAUAGGUCGAGGGCUUAACCAA
rnacentral:rRNA from 1 species